rnacentral:rRNA from 1 species
GUCCACGCCGUAAACGAUGAGUGCUAAGUGUUGGAGGGUUUCCGCCCUUCAGUGCUGCAGCAAACGCAUUAAGCACUCCGCCUGGGGAGUACGACCGCAAGGUUGAAACUCAAAGGAAUUGACGGGGGCCCGCACAAGCGGUGGAGCAUGUGGUUUAAUUCGAAGCAACGCGAAGAACCUUACCAGGUCUUGACAUCCUUUGACCACUCUAGAGAUAGAGCUUUCCCUUCGGGGACAAAGUGACAGGUGGUGCAUGGUUGUCGU